GUGCCAGCAGCCGCGGUAAUACGUAGGGUGCGGGCGUUAAUCGGAAUUACUGGGCGUAAAGCGUGCGCAGGCGGCUCCUUAAGUCAGAUGUGAAAUCCCCGGGCUUAACCUGGGAACUGCGUUUGAUACUGAGGGGCUUGAGUGUGGAAGAGGGGGGUGGAAUUCCAGGUGUAGCAGUGAAAUGCGUAGAGAUCUGGAGGAACACCGAUGGCGAAGGCAGCCCCCUGGGCUAACACUGACGCUCAUGCACGAAAGCGUGGGGAGCAAACAGGAUUAGAUACCCCCGUAGUCC
rnacentral:rRNA from 1 species